GGAAUUAUGUAGCUACACUCCCUGAGACAAGGAGUGGGAAGAGAGAGAGAGAGUGCACAAGCAUGAGCUUGUAAUAGUACCUAGGUUUCCCUAGUUUCAUUAUGUGAUCUGAUGGACUCUGGGACCUGAUAUGCCCAUGCUACACUGAAGAAAGAAGCUUGGUUCUCGUACUAAUUAACUCCAUGACUAGGAUGAAAAGAGAAGUGGACUCAGCACAUUGCCUUGUCUCAAUCCCAUGAUUACCUCCAAACUCCCUGAAAUUCCAUGUUUUGAUACCACCUUAGCUCUUGAUCCUCGAUACAACUCCUCUAUCAUCUCUACUUCUUGAAGUCCCGCUCCCAUCCAUCUCAACACUCCAAACACCAGUUUCCACAAAACCAACUCAUAUGCUUUCUCAAGAUCAAUAAAUGCUACAUAGCAGCUAUGCCCUCCAUUUGUCAUUAUUUAAAACUUCUGUCUUUUUGCAAAUAUUGCAUCUAUAGUACUUCUCUUCCUAA